rnacentral:rRNA from 1 species
GCACGGUUGGGUUUCGGCCUGGCAGUGGCGGACGGGUGAGUAUCGCGUAGGAACGUGUCCUUGGGUGGGGGAUAACCGUGGGAAACUACGGCUAAUACCGCAUGAUGCCUGAGGGCCAAAGUUGCCAGGGAGACCUGGUGGCGCCUGAAGAGGAGCCUGCGUCUGAUUAGGUAGUUGGUGGGGUAAAGGCCUACCAAGCCUGCGAUCAGUAGCUGGUCUGAGAGGAUGAUCAGCCACAUUGGGACUGAGACACGGCCCAAACUCCUACGGGAGGCAGCAGUGGGGAAUAUUGGACAAUGGGCGCAAGCCUGAUCCAGCAAUGCCGCGUGAGUGAAGAAGGUUUUCGGAUUGUAAAGCUCUUUUGGCGGGGACGAUGAUGACGGUACCCGCAGAAUAAGCCCCGGCUAACUUCGUGC